UUUGGAAAGUAAUCCAGUUUGAAAUGUGAAGAUGUAUUCCGGCAGAAUAGUGAGUAGAAUGACAUGCUUACUAUACAGAAGGCAAAAAUAGGACUCUCAGGUAAUAGUUUAAGGAAACCCUUGAUUCCUUAUAUAUGUUUAAGAAGGUUAGUUUUCUGUUUCUUUGCAGUUUUUCUUCUAGAGUCCAUAGCAGGAAAGUAUGUAACCAGAAUUGGUUAGUGUGAGCCACUGCGCCUGGCCUAAACAAACUUUUUGAAAAGCUGUUUCUAAAAGAUUCCUUAAAUUCAGAUAUGACAGCUAAUUACCUCAUCAUAAAUUACUUUUAUACUAAUUGUUUCCAGGGUUUUAGAGUAGUUGAAUGUUUAUUUCACAAGGCACCCUAAAUUCUAUAGAAAUAAAACCUCAGAUGAGUCUCCUUCUUAGAGUGUUACAAUGAAUGGGAGUUUACAACUUUUAUGUGUCAUGUUUCCAACAGCUGUGUUUGGGGUGGUCACUGGCAGGAGGGGACCGUAUCUCAGAAUGGCACAUUAUUUCUAUUUUACACAUGAGCAAAUUGAGGCAUAGAGAGUUAGAUAACUUGCCCAGGUUACACAGAUUGUAAGUUGAUGAAGCUGGGAUUUGAAUCUUCACAUGUGUGUACUUAUAAAUACAAAUGUAAGGAAAA
rnacentral:lncRNA from 1 species